AGUGAACGCUGGCGGUAGGCCUAACACAUGCAAGUCGAACGGCAGCACAGUAAGAGCUUGCUCUUACGGGUGGCGAGUGGCGGACGGGUGAGGAAUACAUCGGAAUCUACUUUUUCGUGGGGGAUAACGUAGGGAAACUUACGCUAAUACCGCAUACGACCUACGGGUGAAAGCAGGGGAUCUUCGGACCUUGCGCGAUCGAAUGAGCCGAUGUCGGAUUAGCUAGUUGGCGGGGUAAAGGCCCACCAAGGCGACGAUCCGUAGCUGGCCUGAGAGGAUGAUCAGCCACACUGGAACUGAGACACGGUCCAGACUCCUACGGGAGGCAGCAGUGGGGAAUAUUGGACAAAGGGCGCAAGCCUGAUCCAGCCAUACCGCGUGGGUGAAGAAGGCCUUCGGGUUGUAAAGCCCUUUUGUUGGGAAAGAAAAGCAGCAGGUUAAUACCCCGCUGUUCUGACGGUACCCAAAGAAUAAGCACCGGCUAACUUCGUG
rnacentral:rRNA from 1 species